UUUGAAUCAACUAACCUUGUGAGGAAUAAUCCUUUGUUAAACCCCUUUGAGCUUAAUUUAGGAUUCAUUUUAUUGAUCAUUGAAAAAAUCAAUUGAAAAUUGUGGAAUAAAUGAAUCCUAAUUUCUUUCGUGUCAAUUGAAACCUUAAGUCGAGUUGUUGAAAAUUUUGCCUUUUGCUUAUGUCUAAGUAGGGAGCAUUAUUGAAUAAAAUUGGUUUCGGAAUCUAAAGUUGGGGAGAGUAGAGUGAAAAGUUGAUUAGAAACUUGGAAAAGUGAAUCGUUAUAAAAGGGUGAAAAUUUGAAAAGAAACAAAAAAAAAAAAAAAUGCUCAUGGUUGUGUGGAUGUGGAAAGAAAA
rnacentral:lncRNA from 1 species